CAAGGACAUAAACAAGUUGAGGUGCAGAGUAAACAAGGUGGGUAAAGACCUGGGGCCCAUUUCAAGGAGGUGAACAAACUGAGUUUAAAAUAAAGUUGACUUGCACUGAGUUUGCAAACCUGGAGUUUUCCGUUUCAGAACGGCUGAUAGGAGUUGGUUUAAGCAACUCCGAGUUGAUUGACUCAGUAUUAAGCGCGUGCCCCGCGACGAUACAAAUGCCUAAUGGAGUGAGUGUUAUGUCUAUGAAUUUUUAAAAUUCCUGUUGUGGUUGAUAUGGGAUUUGUAAAUGAAAUAUAAAAACAUAAUUCAAACAGAUAAGGCACCAUUAUAUCAUGGGUGUAGAUUACUGUAAUGGAAAAAUUGUGCCUUUGUGCUGUUUCUUAUCCAACACACUCGUCAUGUGCUGGUUAGGUGCAAUACUGAAUAUUCUUACACAAACAACUAAUCUCUUGCGCCCUGUCGUACAUCAAGUCUAAACAUCUGAUGUUCCAUUUGACUGACUAAUAAUUUAUGAUAUAUGUUUGUCUUUUACACCCGGACUCUGGCUCCAUUCUAUCUGACUCCCCACCAGACCCAAGGCUGUUAAAGCGAAUGCAUCUCUUCUUGGGAGCUCGGUGUUCCUUCCUUUGAAUAACAAGACAUGAUGAUGCAGAAGUGAGAAAGCAAACAUUCUCACUCACAGCGAGAUAAGGUGGAACAAACAAUUCCAUUGCUGCAGAGAGACAUUCCACCAGAGCCAGAGAAAGGGGUUAAAAGGCAGAAGCAACUUGAGGAUCGUAGACUCUUUGCAUCACACCUUUGUGGUGUGUGCACUGAUCUCCCCAGCUGGUUUUUGGUUUGUUGAUGUGCACCAUCAACAUCCAUGCUUUUUAUUUGCUUUCCCCAUUAUUUUUUUUAUUUCUUUAUUAUUUCAAUAAAUCGCACAAAAGGACAACACUCUCAUCUGCUUCUUUAUGGGAAAUGUGCACCACAACUACCUGACUUAAGAUUUGACAUAUUAAAUAAAUAUAUGCGAUGCAGAGUAUGGCAGCGCAGCAGCAUUUUCAACAUGGCUGUAAUGUUUUCACAGUUAAAUCAUUUGACUUAUACUCAGCCAACAGAAAGAAGGCAGAGGCUAGAACAACUGGUGGAGGACCUGCACCUCCACCUCUGACACAUGCAGAGGAGAAGGCCCUCAACAUGAACACUGGAAAGCAGGGGCUAAAGGAAUUCCUGGAGGGAGUUCAUCAGAACCACUUCCCAGGAUACAAGUGCAUACUAUAAAAUUUAAUAGGCCUACCUAAAUAUGUGAUUUUUUACAUAGGAUACUUUUGAUAUAUUCAUUUCUUAGACUCUGGGUUGGGUUCUUUAUUGGUCUUUACAGAUUUUGGUGGUAAUAUAUGAAUCCUCCUGUCACAACAGAAACCCAGGAUGUUAGUGUGGAAGAACAGCAGGAGGAGGGUCCGUCACAUUCUGCUGCACAGAUGCACACAUUACCGGUUACGGAGUUGUAUAAACUAAAUCUCAAGGAAAUGUUAUACUUGGACCACCAGAUUGAAAAGACAGAUUUAGAAAUUGAAAUUCUCAAACAAAAGGUGGAGGUGAGUGUAUA